rnacentral:rRNA from 1 species
UACAGAGGGUGCGAGCGUUAAUCGGAAUUACUGGGCGUAAAGCGCACGUAGGUGGCCUGUUAAGUCGAACGUGAAAUCCCCGGGCUCAACCCGGGAACUGCGUCCGAGACUGGCAGGCUCGAAUCCGGGAGAGGGAUGUGGAAUUCCAGGUGUAGCGGUGAAAUGCGUAGAUAUCUGGAGGAACACCGGUGGCGAAGGCGGCAUCCUGGACCGGUAUUGACGCUGAGGCGCGAAAGCCAGGGGAGCAAACGGG